rnacentral:rRNA from 1 species
AUUCCAGCUCCAAUAGCGUAUAUUAAAGUUGUUGCAGUUAGAACGCUCGUAGUCGGAUUUCGGGGCGGGCCGACCGGUCUGCCGAUGGGUACGCACUGGUCGGCGCGUCCUUCCUUCCGGAGACCGUGCCUACUCUUAACUGAGCGGGGGCGGGAGACGGAUCGUUUACUUUGAAAAAAUCAGAGUGUUUCAAGCAGGCAGCUCGCUCUUGCAUGGAUUAGCAUGGGAUAAUGAAAUAGGACUUUGGUGCUAUUUUGUUGGUUUCGAACACCGAAGUAAUGAUUAACAGGGACAGUUGGGGCCGUUUAUAUUUCGUUGUCAGAGGUGAAAUUCUUGGAUUUACGAAAGAUAAACUUCUGCGAAAGCAUUCGGCAGGGAUGUUUUCAUCG